GGGGGCUUAGCUUAGAUGGUAAAGCGCUCGCUUAGCAUGCGAGAGGUACCGGGUUCGAUACCUGGCGCCUCCU
rnacentral:tRNA from 1 species